AAGAGAUUUACAUGGGGAGAAGGAGAGGGAAUUGGUGCUGUGGUGAGGAAGGAUGCCUGGGGGAGCCAGGUAACUGCUGUCCCUGGAAUGUCAGACUGGCUCUUCAUCUUCGCCGGGCUGGGUGCGAGCGCGUGUGGCGGGUGCAGCCCGCCUCCCUUCAUUUGCAAGGAAAAAGAGUCGCUGAGAUUGAUUGCACAAUUGAAUAUGCAGCAUGCAAAUCUCUCGUGGGACAAAACAUAUCACUCAGAGAGUUGCACAAGGUUUAAUUCUGUGUUGGGCAAAGAACAAACCGUGUCUGUGCUGAACAGUUCACACGUGAGCAGAAAGGUGAGCACACGUUUUCUGAGCACCCCCUUGUGCCUCCAGAGACGACAGGUUUGGGGAGGAUUUUAGGGAGAGAUAAGAGUCCAGAGGGCCUUGUGGCUGUUUCAAGGGUUAGCAAACGGGGUAUGGAGAUCUCAAAAUAGAUGUGCAGGAAGGGCUGACCUGUAGCUGAGGGAUGUGUCUGAGCAGUGCUGACCUCGCCAUCAGAGCU